rnacentral:rRNA from 1 species
CAUGCAAGUCGAGGGGCAGCAUGGUCUUAGCUUGCUAAGGCCGAUGGCGACCGGCGCACGGGUGAGUAACACGUAUCCAACCUGCCUUAUACUCCCGGACAGCCUUCUGAAAGGAAGAUUAAUACGGGAUGGNAUCACGAGCCAGCAUUUUCUCGUGAUUAAAGAACUUCGGUAUAAGAUGGGGAUGCGUUCCAUUAGAUAGUAGGCGGGGUAACGGCCCACCUAGUCGACGAUGGAUAGGGGUUCUGAGAGGAAGGUCCCCCACAUUGGAACUGAGACACGGUCCAAACUCCUACGGGAGGCAGCAGUGAGGAAUAUUGGUCAAUGGGCGCGAGCCUGAACCAGCCAAGUAGCGUGAAGGAUGACUGCCCUACGGGUUGUAAACUUCUUUUAUAAAGGAAUAAAGUGAGGCACGUGUGCCUUUUUGUAUGUACUUUAUGAAUAAGGAUCGGCUAACUCCGUGCCAGCAGCCGCGGUAAUACGGAGGAUCCGAGCGUUAUCCGGAUUUAUUGGGUUUAAAGGGAGCGUAGAUGGGUUGUUAAGUCAGUUGUGAAAGUUUGCGGCUCAACCGUAAAAUUGCAAUUGAUACUGGCAGUCUUGAGUACAGUUGAGGUAGGCGGAAUUCGUGGUGUAGCGGUGAAAUGCUUAGAUAUCACGAAGAACUCCGAUUGCGAAGGCAGCUUACUAAACUGCCACUGACAUUGAUGCUCGAAAGUGUGGGUAUCAAACAGGAUUAGAUACCCUGGUAGUCCACACGGUAAACGAUGAAUACUCGCUGUUUGCGAUAUACUGCAAGCGGCCAAGCGAAAGCGUUAAGUAUUCCACCUGGGGAGUACGCCGGCAACGGUGAAACUCAAAGGAAUUGACGGGGGCCCGCACAAGCGGAGGAACAUGUGGUUUAAUUCGAUGAUACGCGAGGAACCUUACCCGGGCUUGAAUUGCACUCGAAUAUAGCGGAAACGUUAUAGCUAGCAAUAGCGAGUGUGAAGGUGCUGCAUGGUUGUCGUCAGCUCGUGCCGUGAGGUGUCGGCUUAAGUGCCAUAACGAGCGCAACCCUUGUCUAUAGUUACUAACAGGUGAUGCUGAGGACUCUAUGGAGACUGCCAUCGUAAGAUGUGAGGAAGGUGGGGAUGACGUCAAAUCAGCACGGCCCUUACGUCCGGGGCCACACACGUGUUACAAUGGGGGGUACAGAGGGCCGCUACCACGCAAGUGGAUGCCAAUCCCGAAAGCCUCUCUCAGUUCGGACUGGAGUCUGCAACCCGACUCCACGAAGCUGGAUUCGCUAGUAAUCGCGCAUCAGCCAUGGCGCGGUGAAUACGUUCCCGGGCCUUGUACACACCGCCCGUCAAGCCAUGGGAGCCGGGGGUACCUGAAGUGCGUAACCGCAAGGAGCGCCCUAGG